ensembl:lncRNA
UAAAAACUGAUUUAAGUGUUAAUACUUCUAAACUUAAGACUCUAAACACUGAAAACAAAGAAAGUAAUCCGAAAUAUGUUUUCAUGGGUAAAACACUCUGUCUGGAAUUCUGGUAUACAAUAUCUACUAAAUAAGUGGAUAUAGGUCUAAAAUCUCUUUACCAUUCCCUUCAAUUUCUUUGGCCUUCACAAAUUCAAUGUGAGCUAUGAAUUCUGUUUCAAUAAACACUUUUCAAUGACACUGUGCUUUUUAGAAAAAUCGCUGAAGUUGUAGCAUACAAAUAGUUAACAUUAGUCUUUCCCUUUUAUUGCUAUAGUCUAUCUUAAUUUUUUAAAAAGAUAUGAGAAAAAACUGACCCCAAAGGACUUCUUAAAAUGUUUGUUAAAGCAAACAUUUCAGCUGAUUUUCCUUCCUUGAAGAGUUAAUAGAAAUAAGUGUCAAAGGACUAUCACCAAGGAGAUUAAAAAAAGGCUCCUUUCCUCCCAUUCUCAUAAUUAACUCAGGCUAAGAGAUUUGUAUUCAAAAAGAUAAGACAAUAUCAUCCCAGCAACAACUUUCUAAGAAAGUUAAGAGAAAAUCUAUCAGCUCUCUCAACCAACAGCCCCACAUGCACGUCACUUGGUCAGCUCCCUCUGAAGAGGGCUGCUGCUGGCCUGCUUCUCACUUUUGCAUCCAACAACUGCUGUUCCUCAGAGUACCACAGAAAUAAGCACGCGCGGCCUGUGAUGAUAACUUACUCCACAAAAUGGAUUUCACCUCUUACAAACAUGAAACGUCCCAAAACUUGGACCAUGAUUUAAGUGAAAAAUCCACGCACAACACUUAACCACCCAGCUCCACUCCAUCUUCCAUUCUCUCCCCCUGCGCCUCCAGUGACCCUAGUCUUCACUAGUGCCGAGUCCACUCGGGGCCAAGUGACUAAAAAAAGAUAGAAAAGCUGACUCCAAAGUAACAAUCAUUUACGGGGCCAUGUGUCAGAUGUUACACAUGAUUCCCGGCCUAAAAAGGGCUCACGGCCUGGGGCAAGGAACUGUAAGUCAUAUAUGAGUGAAUUUAAACUUUAAAUGCUCUACAAGAAAGAACUUUUUAUAUAAAGGACUCCUUUUGUAGAAUAUCUUUCUUGACCUUAUCCUAUAUUAUAUUGGCUUUAACUGGGCAUGCACACUCCUUAGUGAUUUGCCUCAUUACAGUAUCUUUUUUGUGUUUACAAUUAACUUAUAAAAGCAUGUAAAAAUCACUACAUUAAAUGGGGUAGGGAGCAAGAAGUAGGGAUGGGGGGAGAAACCAUGUUUGUUUGGAAAUAUCACUUCUUUGUUCUUAAUUUCAACUUUUGAUAUUCAGUUUAGAACUUAUCCUAGCUUGAAGAAUGUGUGUGUGUGUUUGAGAGAAACAGAAAUAGAGAGACUGUGAAAAACUAAUGACUGAUUUUACUUAUUAGUUUUCACUUAGAAUGCUGACUCAAACAUUAGACCAUUAAGAAAUGCUACAAACCCAUACAAAUCACGUGCAUAAAAUGCUAAUAUAACAAACAUAAGAAAUGACACUAUACGCAUACAAAAACUACCAGGCCUACACAAAAUAACCUCACAAACAAUUCAGAUAGAUAAAUAUAGCUAUAGUAGCUAUAUAUAGGAUGUAAAUAGUAACCCUAUUUUAUUUUUAAAAACAAUUCUAGUCUCUAGGAGAGUCCUUCCAAAUUACCUCAAAAUACGCCAGUUCUUUCUCUAACCCUAACAUACAAGCAGAAUUCUGUUUCUCUUGCAGCGAUCACUAUUAGAAAAUCUUAACCUCAACAAGAAGUUCAAACACAGAAAAAGGAAAAGACUAAGGUUACUUAAUUAUGCUAAAUAUCUUACCUUGAACAUUUAAAAGCGAAAACUCUUGAAAGAGAAGGACUUAACCAAAACAUAAACACGCAGUCCUAGAACCCCCAAGAUUUGGCCCAAAAAGCUCCGUGAAGAAGUUACUACUUACAAUUUUUCGCAUGUCAAACUAAUACUCUACUCUAAAUAUUUUAAUCUAAAUUG